AGCUUGAAGGAUACAUUUUAAGUGAAUUCUGCCCAGCGUUAUGUAUUAGCGGCCGCAGUACCUUGACUGUGCUAAGGUAGCAUAAUCAAUUGGCUUUUAAUUGAAGUCUGGAAUGAAAGGUUUGUUAAAGAAUUUUCUGUCUCUUUUUAGCUUAUAUGAAUUUAUUUAUAAAGUGAAAAUACUUUUUAUUAGAAAAAAGACGAGAAGACCCUUAGAAUUUUUAUUAAAAGGUUUUUUAAAUCUCUUAUUCUUGUUGGGGCGACAAUGAAACAU
rnacentral:rRNA from 1 species